CUUCACCGAUCCCAGCCACAACGGCCGCUCCGGCGUGUGCUCACGGCCGUACGUCGCGAGGAGGGCGUCGACCUC
rnacentral:antisense_RNA from 1 species